UACGUAGGGUGCAGGCGUUAAUCGGAAUUACUGGGCGUAAAGCGUGCGCAGGCGGUGAUGUAAGACAGAUGUGAAAUCCCCGGCUCAACCUGGGAACUGCAUUGUGACUGCAUCGCUGGAGUGCGGCAGAGGGGGGGAUGGAAUUCCGCGUGUAGCAGUGAAAUGCGUAGAUAUGCGGAGGAACACGAUGGCGAAGGCAA
rnacentral:rRNA from 1 species